UUGAGAGCGGCGGACGGGUGAGUAAUGCCUAGGAAUCUGCCUGGUAGUGGGGGAUAACGUUCGGAAACGGACGCUAAUACCGCAUACGUCCUACGGGAGAAAGCAGGGGACCUUCGGGCCUUGCGCUAUCAGAUGAGCCUAGGUCGGAUUAGCUAGUUGGUGAGGUAAUGGCUCACCAAGGCGACGAUCCGUAACUGGUCUGAGAGGAUGAUCAGUCACACUGGAACUGAGACACGGUCCAGACUCCUACGGGAGGCAGCAGUGGGGAAUAUUGGACAAUGGGCGAAAGCCUGAUCCAGCCAUGCCGCGUGUGUGAAGAAGGUCUUCGGAUUGUAAAGCACUUUAAGUUGGGAGGAAGGGCAGUUACCUAAUACGUGAUUGUUUUGACGUUACCGACAGAAUAAGCACCGGCUAACUCUGUGCCAGCAGCCGCGGUAAUACAGAGGGUGCAAGCGUUAAUCGGAAUUACUGGGCGUAAAGCGCGCGUAGGUGGUUUGUUAAGUUGGAUGUGAAAUCCCCGGGCUCAACCUGGGAACUGCAUUCAAAACUGACUGACUAGAGUAUGGUAGAGGGUGGUGGAAUUUCCUGUGUAGCGGUGAAAUGCGUAGAUAUAGGAAGGAACACCAGUGGCGAAGGCGACCACCUGG
rnacentral:rRNA from 1 species